rnacentral:lncRNA from 1 species
ACUUUCUUUCCAUGGCUCUACGUCAUGUCAGAUUUAUGUAUGGGCCUAACAGCAAGGUGUGUGAUUGUAAACCUGGAUUUCCCAUCACAAAAGGAUUUACCAUGCAGCAAAUAUGUCCAACUUACAGGGCUAACCAAAUGCAAAGGCCUUUUUAAUGUCCCUGACGGUGGCCUCGUGAGCUCACAUUGUCAUAUAUUUUUGCAAAAUCUGAAGAAGUGAGAUAUUUCUGCAUUACUUUUUCUUAAAGAGGAUCCUGCAUUCAAAUUGCAUAGUUCUAGGUUCAACAAAGCUUAGAUCUUCUCCUUUCGUCAUAUACUUUUAAGUUUCCUACUAUGUGACUAAGGGGUGAAAAAAUCUACAAAAGAAACUCCCGAAGGCAAGAAUAUGAGGCACACCUCUUUUAGGUCUUGUGUAAAAGGGGCAGAGGAAGAAAGGCUUGCAUUCUACUCGUUUUUAUCUUUCUGUUUGGUCUUUAUUGAGUGCCAGCCCCUUAAUGGAGGGCUGAUCCCUGUUUUUCACCCCUACACCUGCCCUGCCAAGGCCAUGAACUGUGGAUUGAGGUUUUACAUAGUGGAACGCAGGCACCAGGCAAAGAGAGAGGGAGAGAAGAGUUCACAGCAGGUAAGUCUGGUGUGGGUCACCUGCUACUCCAAUGGGAGGGUGUGCUGGAAACCGCGGUGCCAAGAGGGGAUAGCCGGGAUUUGCGGGUGGCUGUGCGUCCGAAGCGAGGAUGGAGCAGGAUCUGGGGAGAUAAGGAACCGUCCUGAGACAGAGAAGGCUCCCGGGAGCGGACAGAGAGUGGGCGCCCAGGGGAGCGGACGGAGAAUCGGUGCGCAGUCAGCGCGGCGCCGGCGUCCGCGCCGCACGGAGGACG